CCCCACUGUCUGUGAAGAACACCAAGAGGAGGCUGGAGGGCGCCAAGAAAGCCAAGGCGGACAGCCCCGUGAACGGCUUGCCAAAGGGGCGAGAGAGUCGGAGUCGGAGCCGGAGCCGUGAGCAGAGCUACUCGAGGUCCCCAUCCCGAUCAGCGUCUCCUAAGAGGAGGUGUGAAAAGUGACAGCGGCUCCACAUCUGGUGGGUCCAAGUCGCAGAGCCGCUCCCGGAGCAGGAGUGACUCCCCACCGAGACAGGCCCCCCGCAGCGCUCCCUACAAAGGCUCUGAGAUUCGGGGCUCCCGGAAGUCCAAGGACUGCAAGUACCCCCAGAAGCCACACAAGUCUCGGAGCCGGAGUUCUUCCCGUUCUCGAAGCAGGUCACGGGAGCGGGCGGAUAAUCCGGGAAAAUACAAGAAGAAAAGUCAUUACUACAGAGAUCAGCGACGAGAGCGCUCGAGGUCGUAUGAACGCACAGGCCGUCGCUAUGAGCGGGACCACCCUGGGCACAGCAGGCAUCGGAGGUGAGGCGGGGUUGCAGUGACUGGUGGCCGCAAGCCCUUCCCUGGGGAGUACCUGAUGGCUGCCCUUUGACCCCCGGUGGCUGCCCUUUGACCCCCGGGUGUGCUCUCAGCGCAAGUGGUCCUAGAACAGGAUUCUUUUUGGAAAUGUCUGUCGACUGGACCUUGGUGGAUUUGGAAAUGGAACUGAGGGACCGGUGACACGUGCUUCAGACCGGUCUGGGGUGCGGCGCACACCUGGGCCCGUGCAGGGCUCAGCUCGGCAGCAGCUCUGAGGGCAGCUCAAUGAAAAAGUGAAUGCACACGCCCUUGUUGGCGUGGCCUGGCAUGGCCUGGUGCUAUCGGCAGCCGCUCUCCACUCCCCGACUGAUACUCAAUUACGUGAAGCCAAGAAAGAUGAUUUUUAGAACCUUUGCCUAUAUUAGGUUGUACUUAUGUACAUAUUUUGCAGUGUUUCACAGGAGAAAGUGGCCUUAACUGCCCCUUAUUCUCUCUCCACGUUGUAAAUAAACAUGUGUUUAAUACAAGUUAAAGCUAUGUAUGAAAACUCAGAACUUGAAUCCCGUCAGCUUAAAACUUGUGUAGGGAAUCCUGACUUUUAAAAUGUGAGGGUAUUU
rnacentral:lncRNA from 1 species